AUUGAACGCUGGCGGCAGGCCUAACACAUGCAAGUCGAACGAGUGGCGGACGGGUGAGUAAUGUCUGGGAAACUGCCUGAUGGAGGGGGAUAACUACUGGAAACGGUAGCUAAUACCGCAUACCAUCGGAUGUGCCCAGAUGGGAUUAGCUAGUAGGUGGGGUAAAGGCUCACCUAGGCGACGAUCCCUAGCUGGUCUGAGAGGAUGACUAGCCACAAUGGAACGGAGAAACGGUCCAUACGCGGUGGGGAGGCAGCAGUGGGGAAUAUUGCACAAUGGGCGCAAGCCGGAUUCAGCCAUGCCGCGUGUAUGAAGAAGGCCUUCGGGUUGUAUAGUACUUUCAGCGGUGAGGCGUUACCCGCAGAAGAAGCACCGGCUAACGCCGUUCCAGCAGCCGCGGUAAUUC
rnacentral:rRNA from 1 species